GAUGAACGCUGGCGGCGUGCCUAAUACAUGCAAGUCGAGCGAACGGACGAUAAGCUUGCUUCUCUGAUGUUAGCGGCGGACGGGUGAGUAACACGUGGAUAACCUACCUAUAAGACUGGGAUAACUUCGGGAAACCGGAGCUAAUACCGGAUAAUAUUUUGAACCGCAUGGUUCAAAAGUGAAUGACGGUCUUGCUGUCUCUUAUAGAUGGAUCCGCGCUGCAUUAGCUAGUUGGUAAGGUAACGGCUUACCAAGGCAACGAUGCAUAGCCGACCUGAGAGGGUGAUCGGCCACACGAGAACUGAGACACGGUCCAGACUCCUACGGGAGGCAGCAGUAGGGAAUCGUCCGCAAUGGGCGAAAGCCUGACGGAGCGACGCCGCGUGAGUGAUGAAGGUCUUCGGAUCGUAAAGCUCUGUUAUUGGGGAAGAACAGAUGUGGAAGUAACUGUGGCCAUCGUGACGGUACCUAAUCAGAAAGCAACGGCUAACUACGUG
rnacentral:rRNA from 1 species